GAAUAUUGUCACGCAUGUUCUCCAUCCGGGACUUCACGUUCUUCAGCUUGGCAAGGGCUUUCUCGCUCUCCUUGAACUUCGUGUCAAGCUGAUUGUAUUUCUCUUGAAUCUUCUCAGUAUCAUGGAUGGUGUCGACACUGUAGCACGCAUGUGCCAUGUAGCAAGCAGCAGUCAUGUGUCGAAGUAGCUCGUUCCGACACCACCGCCCGGACUGGCCCAUCAAGAGUGACAUCGCUUCCUUCUUAACCUCAGG
rnacentral:lncRNA from 1 species